rnacentral:lncRNA from 1 species
GAAAACCCAAUCCCCGUUGCAGACAAGAUGAAGGUCUAAAUUCUACACCCGCUAUAAAAUGGGAGUAGAUGUUGGUUUUCUCCAAUUAAUCAAAGAUUAAGGAGGCAAAAUUCGUGUCCGACCCACCGUGUUGCCAUGCCUAUAACGGUCAACAUCAUUUGGUAAAAGGAUUGUAUUAUCUGUCACAAGACUUUAGAGUAGGAAGAAUUUGCAUCCUCGACAGUUGAAUUUUUACUAAAAACAACUUGACAAAAACAUAGAGUUUUGGGUGAUCGGAAUACCAUAUGUGCUUGGAGACUUGAGAAGGAGGAAUUUCUAGAACAUUUAAUUUUUUGUUGUUUAAUUUUUGGCUGUGUAGUCAUAUAUAUUCCAACUCUUGGGAGUUUAAAGUGGUUUACAUAAUGCUUUUGCUCAUUCUCAGCAAUUUGAGGAGAUAGUUGUUAGGCAAAAACUAUAUGAGAUUUGGUCGGUAUGUAUUUGGUCAAUAUGAAAAGAAAAAAAAAACAUAAUCAAUCUAUAUUUAUUUAACAUAA